CAACCAGUUGACCAAUCAACACAGGGCAAGCCCUCCAAGCCUGGAGGCACACCAAUCGUGAGCCUAUGCGUACCCCUAGACACUCCCCUUACGCUGUCCUAUAAGAUCUCUUGGGAGGCCCUAGGAGCCAUCUUUUGCUAGCCAUCUGCCAUGGUGGGUGGGUGAAAGACCCGAGCUAACAUGGGGUUAGCUCGUUAAAUUACAAUAAAGCCUCGUGCAGUUUGCAUCAAGCUCUCGAAUCCGCCUGGUGAUUGGGGUGACCGAAGUCGUGGCCUGAGAUCCCGGAUACUUGAGUUUUCCGGGGGGUCUAACAUUUGGGGGCUUGUCCGGGACUUGCGACCACCCCUCACCUGAGUGGAUUCGAACUUGGAGGUAAGAUGAUUCGAGCUCGCAACUUAUAUGUUCAAUGUUACAUAUUUGCUUGUUUUUGUUGGUUUGGUGCCACUUGAAUUUGCUGUUUUGUUGAUCUUAGCCUGCGCAGGACUCGUGAUUUGUACUCAUAUUUGUAUAAAUCAGACCUCAGGGGGAAAUAGACGUAUUUCGAGACCUUGAAGUCCCGCCCUGGACAAAAGUCCGAGGGUUAUUUGAAUUGAACCAUAGGGUAAGCAGACGUGUGGGCCCAGAAAUAGAUGUAUUUCUGGAACCCUUGGUUCCGCCCUGGACGAAAGUCCAAGGGUUGUUUGUAAUUUUGGUUUGGGGCACCAUUUCUUUGCCGCGGUUUGUCCUGUCUAAUGUCUGUCCACGUUUCAUAUUUGUGUUGUGUGUUUGUUAAGCAUUCUUUCUGUCCCUACUGCCCACACACAUGGCAUGCAUGGGUCAGGGGUCUUUUCUUGAUGCUCUGAGCACGUGGCGCCACCUCAACUGUGAUCGGCAGAUUCGCCCGGAGCACAGAUUGCUGCCCUGAGGACACCCAGGAGACAGACUGCCAGAUCCUGACAGUGACCCAAAGUCUCCAAAGAAGAUUAUGAGGCACCUCAGUUCCUGCACGUGGACCAGUGAGCGAGAUGCUCAGAUGUGAUAACUGCCGCCUGCCAGGACCUAGCCGAGACUGUGGACAAAGCUGCUGGACAUUGGAAAAUUGAUUGUACCCCCUUUGCCUAGACAAAACAAGAUCUCUCCCCAACCCUACACAUUUAAAUUACGUUAUUUCUCAAAAAAGUAAAAAACAGAAAAAAAAAACAAUUUGAAAAGAAAAUCCUGCUAAAAAAAGAAAACAAAACUAGAAGAAACCAUCUGAGCAAGGUUACCCAAUCACAAAAGACAAACAUGGUAUGUACUCACUCAUAUGUGGAUUUUAGACAUAGAGUAAAGGAUUACCAGCCUAAAGUCCACACUACCAGAGAAGCUAGGAAAAAAGGAGGACCCUAAGGGAGACAUACAUGGUCCCCUGGAGAAGAGGAAAGGGACAAGAUCUCCUGAGCAAAUUGGGAGCAUGUGAGGAGGGGGAGAGGGAGCUAGGAGAAUGAGAAAGGGAGAAAAAGAGGGGUGAGGAGGACAUUAGGAAUCAGGAAGGUUGAGUUGGGGGAAGAAUAGAAGAAAACAAGAAUGGAGAUACCAUAAUAGAGGGAGACAUUUUAGUUUUACAGAGAAAUCAGGCACUAGGGAAAUGUCUGGAGAUCUACAAUGAUGACACCAGCUAACAAUCUAAGCAACAGAGGAGAGGCUACCUUAAAUGCCCUCCCCUGAUAAUGAGAUUGAUGACUGACUUAUAUGCCAUCCUAUAGCCUUCAUCCAGCAGCUGGUGGAAGUAGAAGCAGACACCCACAACUAAUCACUGAACUGAACUGGAAUCCAGAUGCAGAGAAGGAUGAGUGAUGGGCAAAGGAGUCCAGACCAGGCUGGUGAAACCCACAGAAACAGCUGACCUGAAAAACGGGAAGCUCUGGGUCCCCAGACUGAUAGCUGGGAUACCAGCAUGGGACUGAUCCAGACCCCAGAAAUUACCACAAGAAGACUCUGUGGUAACUGUCAACGGAGCUGUCGAUGUCCAUGACUUGAUCUGACUCAGCAUCCAGACUUCUGAGGAGUUGAGAGGUCUUGAGCAUGCUGAGUCCCUGACUUGGCCAGGUCCUCAGUAGAGACUCUGGUGCUCACUGAGACCCCUUCUUGACCAGGAUCAUUCUUGCGCGGCUCCACGUUGAGCCGACAGUGGCGCUCAGGAGAGGACAUUGCCCCAUCUCUCGCAAGAGUUCUCAAAGUUCUGUCAGCGAGUCUUUUCCUCAGCCUCCUACGUCGCCGGGAUCUUCUUCGCCUCAUGAAAAUCUUUUGAACCUGUAAGGACAGCACAGUGGUGGGCUGUAAGACCAAAAAGCCACAGGAUAGGGAUCUUGAAGAGUAGAAAUUGAUUUUCUCACAAUUCUGAAGGUGGAAACCCAAGAUCAUGGUUCCAGAGAGAUCAUCUCUUCUGAAGUUUCUGUUUUUCAACAUCUUCAUCCUAUAUCUUGUUGUAUAGUCUUGCCUCUCUGUGUAGCUGUAUUAUCUUCUAUGAUAAGGAUAUCAGUCUACUAGAUAGAAGCAACUAAGACGGUCUUGGUUCAUAUUUUCAGAGAUUUCAGUCCAUCGUGAGGGAGCUAUGGUGGAGUUCAUGUUUGGCCAGAAUGGAUGGCUAUGGCUCCAUAUAUGACACCCAGAAGGAGGCUCUGCUGGAAGAAGUAUUUUGUCACAGCAAUGAGAAAAGCAGCUAAAUCUGGAGAACUUGGUACUGGGAGUCCCUUGCUGUGAUUGAGCCUGAUCACGUGAUGCACGUGUUUUGACACUUGUUGGCAAGAGGAUGUGGAAGAGUUUGGAGCUGUGGGCUAGAGAAGCCCCAGAGAGCAUAAACAGAGAUUAACAGGCCAUCUUGGUUGGGAGGACGAAAGACCAGAAUGCUUAUACAAAUGCUGAUAGCAAACAUUGUGCUAUGAGGAUUCAGAUGGGAAUGAGGAGUUUACCAGGAACUUGAUCGACCUAAGACCAUUUAGGUUACACUCUGGCAAAGAAUUUGGCUGCUUUCUGCCUAUGCUCUUAAAACUGGUGUGAAGUUGAAUUAACUGAAUGCAUAUGCCACACAGCCAUACAUGAGUGGAAACACAUACAUCAAACUAAAAAACAAAUGCAAUAUCAAAAACGAAAUUUUCAAAAAGUAAUGAACUGAUUAAUACAUUUGGUAGAGGGAAUUUUACCACAUCCUACCCUUCAAGUGGAGGCGUCAUUAUUGCUGGACGUACUUAGUCAGCUUUACAGUGAGAAAAGGCAGGGAUUAUUUUGCCUCAUGGUUUCAGAUGUUUCCGUCCAUUUUAGCAAAAAAGGCAUGGGACACAGAAGAAACAGACAGCACAGAUAGAACCAGAGCUGUAUAGAACCUUCAAGGCCUGUUCCUAGUGACCCACUUCUGCCAGGGUGGCCCCAUGUCCCGAAGCUGAGAACCACGUGUUCAAACAUUUGAGUCUGUGGGGCAUUCAAACCAUAACACUCCAUCCUUGUGUGGCUAAGGAGCACUUAAAAUUAGUUCAACUUCUUUAGCCAUCAGAGAAAUGCAGAUUAAAAUUACUUUGAGGUUCCAUUUCACAUAGUCAGAAUGGCCAUCAUCAGAAAUACAAAUGACAGCAAAUGCUGACAGGGGUGUGGGGAAGGGAAAGCCUUGUACAUUGUUUGUGAGAGUCUAAGCAGGUGGAGCCCCUUGGAUUUCCAUAGGACUAGCUAUACCUCUCCUGGUAUAUAGUCAAAGGAUGCUUCAUUCUAGCACAGAGACGCAUCCAUCUUCAUUGCCGCUCUAUUCACAAUUCCUAGGAAAUGAACUUAAUCUUCAUGUAUAAAAUUUGCAAGGAAAUGUAUGAAAUAAAAUGCUAUAUUGAAUGAGGUAACCCAGACUCAUAUAGACAAAUGCCACAUGUUCUCUUAUACAUGUAAAUACUACUUUUGAGUUGUUAGUUGUUUGUAUUUAACUCAAAGUAUGGGUAGAAGCCAAAAAACUAGAAAGGGGCUUUAGGAGGGGUGCACUAAGUGGGAGUGAUACUGGCAACUAGGUAAAAUGAGAUAAGAGAGGGAAAAUACUGGGAAAGAAACGUUUGAAUAGCAAAGGGAUGAAGGGAUGUGGAAGCAGGGAGGGUUAACCAAAACAAACCGUUUAUGAAAAAGCCAUUGGAAACCUACUAUUAUUUAUUUAUUUAUUUAUUUAUUUAUUUAUUUAUUUAAUUAUUGGUUUGUUUUUCGAGACAGGGUUUCUCUGUGUGGCUUUGGAGCCUAUCCUGGAACUUGCUCUGUAGACCAGGCUGGCCUCGAACUCACAGAGAUCUGCCUGCCUCUGCCUCCUGAGUGCUGGGAUGAAAGGCAUGCGCCACCACUCCCUGGCUGAAACCUACUGUUUUACAACUCAAGAUCGUGAAGGGGCAAUCUACAGAGACAGCUGAACCAAACUCGUGGGAACACAUGAACUCUAGCCUUGGAAUCCCCCCGGAACGGAACUAGCCCUCUGCAUGUGAGCUGUGGUAACCUGUACAAGACCUGCCCCAAAUCAGGCAACUCCAGCAGGGUUGAAAUGGGGUCAUGAAGCUGCCGAGCUAUUGGUGGUUGGUGGCUGCUGGAAGAUAUAAAGUCGUUUUUCUUUGGAAACGUGGUUACAGGUCACAUGUACCACGGAGCCCAUUUGGAGGUCAGAGGACAACUUGCGGGUGUUGGUUCUCUCUUUCCACCAUGCAGGUCUUGGAAUGAAAUUCAGAUCUGGUAAGCAGGAGACCCUUCAAGAGUGUUCCUUUGCCAUGCUGUCAUUAGUCUUUGAGUACUUCCUGCAACUCCUGUUUCUUCUAGCAUAAAAUGGUAUUUUGUUGGGAUUGUAGCUGUACACCAUCACAUCUGACACCGCUGUUUGAGAAGCUCACCAGCCUUAUCAUCCUGAAGGGGAAGAACCAUUCAUGUAGAUGAACAUGCAGGAAACUGCCAACACCGUCAUGAGCUAUGGCACAUCGUUGGUGUCAAUGCUGUGCUGCUAGACAACUAUGUCUAGCUCUCCAACUACAAGGUGAUCAAGAACAACAGCUCCCCAAACAAUGUGCAUGCCCAGGUGGCCCUGCAGGUGGUGAACUUGGUACAUUUGGGAAACUUGGCCUUCAUGGCCUCUACUAGGCUAUGGACACCAAGAUGAUGAUGGCUGACCAGAGGCCCAUACUCAGAUUCAUCAUAGAAAAAUCUCUGCCAUCCAGUGACCUUGGAUGCUCUGCACCAGAACUUCUUCAAAUUUGGCACUGUCCUCAAGAUCACCAUCUUCACUAAGAACGACCAGUUCCAGGUGCUGGUGAACUAUUCCCUCCACAUGGGUAUCCAGAAUGAUAAGUAUGGCUACCAGCCCUCUUCAAAGAAGACUCUCUUUACAGCAAAUGUAGACCAUCACAGAAAAGCUGGGAUUAAAGGCAUGCGUCACCAACGCCCGGCGGCAUGCAUGUAUUCUAAGCAUCUAUGUCCCUACGCUCUUCCCCUCCUUCCCGAUGGCCAACUCCCAGGUGGGACUCAAGCUGGAACAGCCUCUAUCUGCUUUGCCUGGAGAAACCGUUUUGAAAUAGGAGGCAGGGCGUUUCUGCCUCCAAAUUUUGCAGCAAAGUUUUGUCUACUCACCUCUGACUCAUGUCCGGAUGCAAAGGUUGAUGUCCAGAUUCAGCUGAUGCUGUCUGAGAGCAAGAUGGAAAAACACUGUGGCUGCAGCCCAAGAGUAUAACUUUUCAAUGAUGAAAAAAGAAGCUGAAAUCAUGGCCCACUUCCUUCCAGGGGUCGUUGCUCUAGAGAUGAUUAUCACAGUCAGAGUCUUCCACUUUGGUGCAAAACUCCAAGAAGGGGAAACUUGUGCAGCCAGAGAUAGAAGAGCAUGAACACUGUCCCCACACCCUUCUUUAG
rnacentral:lncRNA from 1 species